AUCUUCACGGACUGUUCUACAGCUGAGAAACUACAACUGCAGCUUUUCCCUUAUUGGCCCACCGUCAAUCUAGCAGGGUAUCGGUCUCACAUUAACAACGUGGCUUGCUUCCUACAACUGGCUGGCAUCAGCGCAGAGAACAGCCCGGCCUCUGUAAAUCCAAGAAGUUAUUGAGUGUGCUGCC